UACGGAGGGAGCUAGCGUUGUUCGGAAUUACUGGGCGUAAAGCGCACGUAGGCGGCUUUGUAAGUUAGAGGUGAAAGCCCGGGGCUCAACCCCGGAAUUGCCUUUAAGACUGCAUCGCUUGAAUCCAGGAGAGGUGAGUGGAAUUCCGAGUGUAGAGGUGAAAUUCGUAGAUAUUCGGAAGGAACACCAGUGGCGAAGGCGGCUCACUGGACUGGUAUUGACGCUGAGGUGCGAAAGCGUGGGGAGCAAACAGG
rnacentral:rRNA from 1 species